AGUGAACGCUGGCGGUAGGCCUAACACAUGCAAGUCGAACGGCAGCACAGUAAGAGCUUGCUCUUACGGGUGGCGAGUGGCGGACGGGUGCGGAAUACAUCGGAAUCUACUUUUUCGUGGGGGAUAACGUAGGGAAACUUACGCUAAUACCGCAUACGACCUACGGGUGAAAGCAGGGGAUCUUCGGAUCUUGCGCGAUUGAAUGAGCCGAUGUCGGAUUAGCUAGUUGGCGGGGUAAAGGUCCACCAAGGCGACGAUCCGUAGCUGGUCUGAGAGGAUGAUCAGCCACACUGGAACUGAGACACGGUCCAGACUCCUACGGGAGGCAGCAGUGGGGAAUAUUGGACAAUGGGCGCAAGCCUGAUCCAGCCAUACCGCGUGGGUGAAGAAGGCCUUCGGGUUGUAAAGCCCUUUUGUUGGGAAAGAAAAGCAGCAGGUUAAUACCCCGCUGUUCUGACGGUACCCAAAGAAUAAGCACCGGCUAACUUCGUG
rnacentral:rRNA from 1 species